GACGAACGCUGGCGGCGUGCUUAACACAUGCAAGUCGAACGGAAAGGCCCUGCUUGCAGGGUACUCGAGUGGCGAACGGGUGAGUAACACGUGGGUGAUCUGCCCUGCACUUCGGGAUAAGCCUGGGAAACUGGGUCUAAUACCGGAUAGGAGCCAUUUUUAGUGUGAUGGUUGGAAAGUUUUUUCGGUGUAGGAUGAGCUCGCGGCCUAUCAGCUUGUUGGUGGGGUAAUGGCCUACCAAGGCGGCGACGGGUAGCCGGCCUGAGAGGGUGGACGGCCACAUUGGGACUGAGAUACGGCCCAGACUCCUACGGGAGGCAGCAGUGGGGAAUAUUGCACAAUGGGCGCAAGCCUGAUGCAGCGACGCCGCGUGGGGGAUGACGGCCUUCGGGUUGUAAACUCCUUUCGCUAGGGACGAAGCUUUUUGUGACGGUACUUAGAUAAGAAGCACCGGCUAACUACGUG
rnacentral:rRNA from 1 species